rnacentral:rRNA from 1 species
GGCGGCGUGCUUAACACAUGCAAGUCGAACGAUGAACCACUUCGGUGGGGAUUAGUGGCGAACGGGUGAGUAACACGUGGGCAAUCUGCCCUGCACUCUGGGACAAGCCCUGGAAACGGGGUCUAAUACCGGAUAUGACCCUCGCAGGCAUCUGUGAGGGUGUAAAGCUCCGGCGGUGCAGGAUGAGCCCGCGGCCUAUCAGCUUGUUGGUGAGGUAACGGCUCACCAAGGCGACGACGGGUAGCCGGCCUGAGAGGGCGACCGGCCACACUGGGACUGAGACACGGCCCAGACUCCUACGGGAGGCAGCAGUGGGGAAUAUUGCACAAUGGGCGAAAGCCUGAUGCAGCGACGCCGCGUGAGGGAUGACGGCCUUCGGGUUGUAAACCUCUUUCAGCAGGGAAGAAGCGAAAGUGACGGUACCUGCAGAAGAAGCGCCGGCUAACUACGUGCCAGCAGCCGCGGUAAUACGUAGGGCGCAAGCGUUGUCCGGAAUUAUUGGGCGUAAAGAGCUCGUAGGCGGCUUGUCGCGUCGGUUGUGAAAGCCCGGGGCUUAACCCCGGGUCUGCAGUCGAUACGGGCAGGCUAGAGUUCGGUAGGGGAGAUCGGAAUUCCUGGUGUAGCGGUGAAAUGCGCAGAUAUCAGGAGGAACACCGGUGGCGAAGGCGGAUCUCUGGGCCGAUACUGACGCUGAGGAGCGAAAGCGUGGGGAGCGAACAGGAUUAGAUACCCUGGUAGUCCACGCCGUAAACGGUGGGCACUAGGUGUGGGCGACAUUCCACGUCGUCCGUGCCGCAGCUAACGCAUU